GGAAGACGAAGUAGGAUGCAUGCCGUGGUCCGGUUAGAUGUUAGACUUAAAAAGAAUGGUUAACUGCUGCCUGUGCAAAGAAGAGGCAUGUUAUUUAUUCCAGUAACAUGUUAUUUAUUCCAGUAACUUUACAAUUUGCUGCAAAAUUAAGGCCUUUUUGCAAAUUUCAUCCAUGAUCGGUUCAUAACGAACUUAGUUUUUUUAAGACAUUCUAUAGUAUAUUUUCUAGUUUUUAUAAACAUCUUUUCCAUUUUGUUUGAUUAUUUUCUGAAACAUAUAUUUAUAAUAUUCGCAAGCCAGAAUAAAUUAGAAUGUACGUGUA
rnacentral:sRNA from 1 species